rnacentral:misc_RNA from 1 species
UCAAACUUGGUCAUUUAGAGGAAGUAAAAGUCGUAACAAGGUCUCCGUUGGUGAACCAGCGGAGGGAUCAUUACCGAGUUAACAAACUCCCAAACCCCUGUGAACAUACCUAUCGUUGCUUCGGCGGGAUCGCCCCGGCGCCACCGGGCCCGGACCCAGGCGCCCGCCGGAGGACCCAAACUCUUGUCUCUGCGGAUGUAUCUUCUGAGUAACACAAGCAAAUAAAUCAAAACUUUCAACAACGGAUCUCUUGGUUCUGGCAUCGAUGAAGAACGCAGC